UGCGUAGGCGGAAUAAUAAGUCAGUGGUGAAAUCCUGUGGCUCAACCACAGAACUGCCAUUGAUACUGUUAUUCUUGAAUAUAGUUGAGGUAGGCGGAAUGUGUAAUGUAGCGGUGAAAUGCUUAGAUAUUACACAGAACACCGAUUGCGAAGGCAGCUUGCUAAACUAUUAUUGACGCUGAGGCACGAAAGCGUGGGGAGCGAACAGGAUUAGAUACCCUGGUAGUC
rnacentral:rRNA from 1 species